UAAAAACCGAGCGGCCACUAAAAGAAGUAAAUUAAGUAAAACAUUUAGCCAGUAGGGGAGCUGAAUGCAAUUUCUGGUGUUCAAAAUAUGAUACUGGUUAUGAAUGUAGACACGUCUGAGACGUUUAACGUCAUUAUUAGUAAGUAAACACACCAACAGUCGGUGUGCCUCUCAGAAAGCUCGUGUCACCACAUUGCAAAACCCGUGGCAAACGUGACGAGACAAGGCGUAUCGAAAAGUCGCGUUUUUUGUGGCCCGAUACCCUUAGCACGUAUCGCAAGACGGUCAUAUUAAGUGUAGAAAUUAAUUAUUUGUUUUCAUAUUCAAUCUUUUGGUGUCCCAAAAAUGUUGGAGGUCCUUGAAAGGAGUGAUUCAGGGGCUAAUUUGAAACAACUUUUUUCUUAGUAAAAAUGUUGUCCGGAGAUAUUAACAGACCUGUUGCAUCCUUCGAUGCACGUCAGGUUCAUGUCAGUCAUAUCUACUGUUCGAAUUGAACGUGUAAAAAACGUAAAUACACAAGAUGGAAUUUUUAUUCGUGAAUUGUAAUUGAGAAAUGUAUUGAAUUUGCAUUGGAGCGGACAGAAAGUGAGAACUGUCGAAGGACAUUUUGAAUCGAAAGGAAUUGGAAUCGUCGAAAGGAGGAGUUAAAGCUUGAACGAUUAAGAUCCUGGCUUCUAAUCAGUUGUCAUCUCAAGUGUUUUUUCCCCGAUUGGAUGGAUAACCCCAUGGGAUUUGUAAAUACAGGGUGUCCCAAAAAUGUUGUAACACCUCGUAGUUUCAUUCUUGGCCGAAACCGAUACAACUUUCUGCUUGCACGCUCAGUGUAUAUCUCCGCCACUUCCAACAUCGGAUUUGUUUUGACAAAUCGAAAGCGAUAAAGGAUACGAUGAGGGCCAAACACGGUGACCUCACUCUCUCCUUCAUGAACUUAUGCACUGGCGCUCUCGACGAAAAAAAGUAUUGGGAGCCUGCCUGAAAAAUUUCCUCAAAAGGAAGGAACCGUAUCCCUUGUCGACCGCCCGCGACAACGAUGAUGGUGCUUGAUCUUUUUGGGAUUUCGUACUCGUUUGGUCAUUAAGCGGCUCGCGGUGCUAAUUAGAGAUAGCGUGAACUGCUACUUUUGAAUCACUCGUGAUUCAAUCACGUUCAUUCUCAAUCACGAUGAUUUUUCACAGUGAUUCGUGAUUCUUCGUCAUCGCUUCUGAUUGGUAGAGAACAUUCUUUUCACUUUUCACGAAUUAUAUUGUUCUUAGAUUAUAUAUGUACUAUAAUAUGGUCUAAAAGCAAUGUUAAUAUAAUUUUAAUACAAUUUAAAAUUGACUCAUUUGUAGUUUCUCGAAUUUCCGCUAAGGGGAGACAGCGAGACCGCUUCUGAAACGCCAUCUUCCGGAUCACGAUCGUGAUCGAAGUUUAAUCACGACUGCGAUCGUAAUUAUGUGAAAAAACUUCAAAAAAGUAAAAAAAUUACACCAAGUACAUGAAAAAGUGGAGGACUCAAGGAGUUAUCAUUGAAAAAUAGAAGAUCCACAUAAAAAACUACAAGAAAGUAGAAAAAGAUGUGAAAUCAAAAUGAGCUGCCAGAUGAUUUGCCUAGAUUUCCGCGGCCUAGAAGUCAAAUGCUUGUCGUGGCCAGACAAGGCAUUCUUAUAUCAUCUGUUGGAGCGUUUUAUUACGAUUUAUUUGUAGAACAGACUCUACGUAGUUCGUCGGCACGUUCGACUCGAAGAAACCGAUAAAGUUUCAAUGUUUAUAAUACGGAUAUACGUCGCCCGGGCCCCAAUUAGGGAGUCGGCUUCGAACCACGGUCGUGACCGGUCGAGGAAAUAUACCGCGUAUUAAAAGACAGUAAUUUUUGUCUCGACUACGGGACUUUGUAAUUCGGCAAUAGUCAAACAAUCAGACGUUUCGGACGACACCAGGAUAUCUCCUUGUGCGGGAGUUUCCAUCGGAACACAGUUUUCGCAACACAGUGAUUCCUGGUAAUCUGGAUAUCUUCCCGCACAGGAGACGGAACACUAUUCCGUAUCGUCGUGAUCGAUUCACAAUCUGGGAAUUAUUUCCUAAAAAAUCCGGUGUCACGCGAUUAAUCGCUGACGGGCGCCCGACCUUCGUGUACACGAAAAAAUCAUCAAAGUCACACGCGACACACUCACACUAACAAUUCAAAUAUUGUAAAUUCAAUAAUUUAAAUCAAGGGUUUUUUAUGCCUUCGGGCUUUUUCCCUUGCAUCAACGCUAAAAUAAACUAUUACUUUUCA